CAGCAGCCGCGGUAAUACGAAGGGUGCAAGCGUUACUCGGAAUUACUGGGCGUAAAGCGUGCGUAGGCGGUUUGUUAAGUCUGCUGUGAAAUCCCCGGGCUCAACCUGGGAAUGGCAGUGGAUACUGGCAAGCUAGAGUGUGUCAGAGGAUGGUGGAAUUCCCGGUGUAGCGGUGAAAUGCGUAGAGAUCGGGAGGAACAUCAGUGGCGAAGGCGGCCAUCUGGGACAACACUGACGCUGAGGCACGAAAGCGUGGGGAGCAAACAGGAUUAGAUACCCCCGUAGUCCCUGUCUCUUAUAC
rnacentral:rRNA from 1 species